AGGUUAAUGACCCACUAAUCUUGUCCAAAGCCCAACCCAUUGAAACCCUAAUCCCUUCCCUAUAUAAUGAACACUUCCCCAUCCUUUAUCCCACUUUUACAAGCCUCCAAACACUUCAAAAAUCCUCCCAAACUCAGCUGAGUUUCAGCAAUAUUUCAGAAAGUUCCAGCCAUAAAAAAAGGACUUGGUGUUUCAUCCUCCAACAACCAACAAACUCCUCACGGAUUAACAAGUGGAAGCUUGCAAAAGCGUUGAUGAUGUUGAAUACGAUGAAAUCUAGUAGGGACGACACUAGAAACGCACUUGAAAUUACUAGAAUUUGUACUUAAAUUGUUGAACUUGUUGUUUUGUUUUUGAUGUUGUAUUUGAUUUUCAUGUUGUACUUGACAAUUUUAUUAUGAUAUGAAAUUAAUUUUGA